rnacentral:rRNA from 1 species
UUAAGCGACUAAGCGUACACGGUGGAUGCCCUGGCAGUCAGAGGCGAUGAAGGACGUGCUAAUCUGCGAUAAGCGUCGGUAAGGUGAUAUGAACCGUUAUAACCGGCGAUUUCCGAAUGGGGAAACCCAGUGUGAUUCGUCACACUAUCAUUAACUGAAUCCAUAGGUUAAUGAGGCGAACCGGGGGAACUGAAACAUCUAAGUACCCCGAGGAAAAGAAAUCAACCGAGAUUCCCCCAGUAGCGGCGAGCGAACGGGGAGGAGCCCAGAGCCUGAAUCAGUGUGUGUGUUAGUGGAAGCGUCUGGAAAGGCGCGCGAUACAGGGUGACAGCCCCGUACACAAAAAUGCACAUGCUGUGAGCUCGAUGAGUAGGGCGGGACACGUGGUAUCCUGUCUGAAUAUGGGGGGACCAUCCUCCAAGGCUAAAUACUCCUGACUGACCGAUAGUGAACCAGUACCGUGAGGGAAAGGCGAAAAGAACCCCGGCGAGGGGAGUGAAAAAGAACCUGAAACCGUGUACGUACAAGCAGUGGGAGCACGCUUAGGCGUGUGACUGCGUACCUUUUGUAUAAUGGGUCAGCGACUUAUAUUCUGUAGCAAGGUUAACCGAAUAGGGGAGCCGAAGGGAAACCGAGUCUUAACUGGGCGUUAAGUUGCAGGGUAUAGACCCGAAACCCGGUGAUCUAGCCAUGGGCAGGUUGAAGGUUGGGUAACACUAACUGGAGGACCGAACCGACUAAUGUUGAAAAAUUAGCGGAUGACUUGUGGCUGGGGGUGAAAGGCCAAUCAAACCGGGAGAUAGCUGGUUCUCCCCGAAAGCUAUUUAGGUAGCGCCUCGUGAAUUCAUCUCCGGGGGUAGAGCACUGUUUCGGCAAGGGGGUCAUCCCGACUUACCAACCCGAUGCAAACUGCGAAUACCGGAGAAUGUUAUCACGGGAGACACACGGCGGGUGCUAACGUCCGUCGUGAAGAGGGAAACAACCCAGACCGCCAGCUAAGGUCCCAAAGUCAUGGUUAAGUGGGAAACGAUGUGGGAAGGCCCAGACAGCCAGGAUGUUGGCUUAGAAGCAGCCAUCAUUUAAAGAAAGCGUAAUAGCUCACUGGUCGAGUCGGCCUGCGCGGAAGAUGUAACGGGGCUAAACCAUGCACCGAAGCUGCGGCAGCGACGCUUAUGCGUUGUUGGGUAGGGGAGCGUUCUGUAAGCCUGUGAAGGUGUGCUGUGAGGCAUGCUGGAGGUAUCAGAAGUGCGAAUGCUGACAUAAGUAACGAUAAAGCGGGUGAAAAGCCCGCUCGCCGGAAGACCAAGGGUUCCUGUCCAACGUUAAUCGGGGCAGGGUGAGUCGACCCCUAAGGCGAGGCCGAAAGGCGUAGUCGAUGGGAAACAGGUUAAUAUUCCUGUACUUGGUGUUACUGCGAAGGGGGGACGGAGAAGGCUAUGUUGGCCGGGCGACGGUUGUCCCGGUUUAAGCGUGUAGGCUGGUUUUCCAGGCAAAUCCGGAAAAUCAAGGCUGAGGCGUGAUGACGAGGCACUACGGUGCUGAAGCAACAAAUGCCCUGCUUCCAGGAAAAGCCUCUAAGCAUCAGGUAACAUCAAAUCGUACCCCAAACCGACACAGGUGGUCAGGUAGAGAAUACCAAGGCGCUUGAGAGAACUCGGGUGAAGGAACUAGGCAAAAUGGUGCCGUAACUUCGGGAGAAGGCACGCUGAUAUGUAGGUGAAGUCCCUCGCGGAUGGAGCUGAAAUCAGUCGAAGAUACCAGCUGGCUGCAACUGUUUAUUAAAAACACAGCACUGUGCAAACACGAAAGUGGACGUAUACGGUGUGACGCCUGCCCGGUGCCGGAAGGUUAAUUGAUGGGGUUAGCGCAAGCGAAGCUCUUGAUCGAAGCCCCGGUAAACGGCGGCCGUAACUAUAACGGUCCUAAGGUAGCGAAAUUCCUUGUCGGGUAAGUUCCGACCUGCACGAAUGGCGUAAUGAUGGCCAGGCUGUCUCCACCCGAGACUCAGUGAAAUUGAACUCGCUGUGAAGAUGCAGUGUACCCGCGGCAAGACGGAAAGACCCCGUGAACCUUUACUAUAGCUUGACACUGAACAUUGAGCCUUGAUGUGUAGGAUAGGUGGGAGGCUUUGAAGUGUGGACGCCAGUCUGCAUGGAGCCGACCUUGAAAUACCACCCUUUAAUGUUUGAUGUUCUAACGUUGACCCGUAAUCCGGGUUGCGGACAGUGUCUGGUGGGUAGUUUGACUGGGGCGGUCUCCUCCUAAAGAGUAACGGAGGAGCACGAAGGUUGGCUAAUCCUGGUCGGACAUCAGGAGGUUAGUGCAAUGGCAUAAGCCAGCUUGACUGCGAGCGUGACGGCGCGAGCAGGUGCGAAAGCAGGUCAUAGUGAUCCGGUGGUUCUGAAUGGAAGGGCCAUCGCUCAACGGAUAAAAGGUACUCCGGGGAUAACAGGCUGAUACCGCCCAAGAGUUCAUAUCGACGGCGGUGUUUGGCACCUCGAUGUCGGCUCAUCACAUCCUGGGGCUGAAGUAGGUCCCAAGGGUAUGGCUGUUCGCCAUUUAAAGUGGUACGCGAGCUGGGUUUAGAACGUCGUGAGACAGUUCGGUCCCUAUCUGCCGUGGGCGCUGGAGAACUGAGGGGGGCUGCUCCUAGUACGAGAGGACCGGAGUGGACGCAUCACUGGUGUUCGGGUUGUCAUGCCAAUGGCACUGCCCGGUAGCUAAAUGCGGAAGAGAUAAGUGCUGAAAGCAUCUAAGCACGAAACUUGCCCCGAGAUGAGUUCUCCCUGACUCCUUGAGAGUCCUGAAGGAACGUUGAAGACGACGACGUUGAUAGGCCGGGUGUGUAAGCGCAGCGAUGCGUUGAGCUAACCGGUACUAAUGAACCGUGAGGCUUAACCUU